rnacentral:lncRNA from 1 species
AUAACCAAAAAUGGAAGUCCUUUCUCCUAGUAGAAUACACCUACCAAUAUUUUCCAUUGUUGGGUUAGUGUUACUUUCUACUAUUGCAUGUUCAGCUGCAAAUUCAGCUCACAACACUUUUCUUCAUUGCCUUGUAAACCAUUCAGAGCCCUCUCAUCCCAUAACCUCAGCGAUUUUCACGCCAAACAACGCUUCAUUCUCCUCAGUCUUGGAAGCUUACGUCAGAAACCUUCGUUUCAACACCUCCACAACCCGUAAGCCGUUCCUUAUAGUAACUGCAUUGCAUGUGUCCCAUAUACAGGCAUCCAUUAUCUGUGCUCAGAAGUAUAACUUGCAAAUGAAAAUUCGAAGUGGAGGCCAUGACUACGAUGGUUUGUCCUACGUGGCUGAGGUCCCAUUCUUUAUCCUUGACAUGUUCAAACUCCGAACCAUUGAAGUUGACAUACACACUGAGACCGCUUGGGUACAAGCUGGUGCAACGGUUGGUGAAGUUUUUUACAAAAUUGCUAAUAAGAGUAAAAUUCAUGCUUUCCCAGCAGGGAUUUGUCCCACUGUUGGGAUAGGAGGCCACCUAAGUGGCGGCAGUUAUGGCAAUUUGAUGAGAAAAUACGGUCUCUCAGUGGACAAUAUUGUUGAUGCACAAAUGGUUGAUGUUCAAGGUAGAUUGCUUGAUAGAAAAUCCAUGGGUGAAGAUCUCUUUUGGGCCAUCACAGGUGGUGGAGGAUCUAGCUUUGGUGUGGUCCUUGCCUACAAAAUAAAGCUAGUUCGAGUUCCUGAAACAGUCACUGUUUUCAACGUUCAGAGGACCUUGGAGCAAAACGCCACCGAUAUAGUUUAUAAAUGGCAGCAUGUUGCACCAACUAUCGACAACGACCUUUUCAUUAGACUUGUCUUGGACGUUGUAAACGGUACAAAAACUGGAACAAAGACUGUAAGAGCUUCUUUCGUAGCUCUAUUCCUUGGCGACUCCAAAAGCCUUGUUUCUCUCUUGAAUGAGAAGUUCCCUCAAUUAGGUUUGAAGCAAUCUGACUGCAUCGAAACAAGUUGGCUUCGUUCAGUGCUGUUUUGGACAAACAUCAACAUUACAGCACCUCUUGAGAUUUUGCUUGAUAGACAACCACAAUCACCCGUGAACUUCUUGAAAAGAAAAUCUGAUUAUGUACAAAAACCAAUUUCCAAAGACGGUUUUGAAGGAAUUUGGAAGAAGAUGAUUGAGUUGGAGGAUACACUGUUUCAAUUCAAUCCUUAUGGUGGAAGAAUGGCUGAGAUUCCAUCAACAGCAACUCCUUUCCCUCAUCGAGCAGGGAACCUAUGGAAGCUUCAAUACCAAGCCAAUUGGAGGCAAGCAGGGAAAGAAGUAACAAAUCACUACAUAAACUUGACAAGAAAACUUCACAAGUACAUGACUCCUUUUGUCUCCAAGAACCCAAGAGAGGCUUUCUACAAUUAUAAGGACCUUGACUUGGGAAUUAAUCACAAUGGCAAGAAAAGCUAUGCUGAAGGAAAAGUUUACGGAGUGGAGUAUUUCAAGGAUAACUUCGACAGGUUGGUUGAAAUAAAGACCAAGGUUGAUCCUCAUAAUUUCUUUAGAAACGAACAAAGCAUCCCUACUCUGCCAUAUGCAAAGAGUUAGGAUAAUAGCGACUCAAAUGUUAUUAAUUUCUGUAGUUUUGGUCAUUAGUUUAUUGCGUACUAUAUUGGAUCAUGGAAAUAAGUGAUGUUUAAUAAACUAUUUGUUUGGUUUGGUAUUAAAUUAUGAAAUAAAUCGUGUUUUAAUCAUGUAGCUCUUGUGUGUUAUUUAAAUAGUUACAUAAGAGAUGCAGUUUUGAUAGAAAUCUUUUUCUGAUCAGCUAAAAAUAUAUAAUAAAUUUUAGUCAUUAUUAAAAAAAUUAUAAUAAAUAAAUAUAUCACGUAGCAAGUCAUUUCUUUAUUAAUACACAAUGCAUGCAAAUAUAUAUAUAUAUAUAUAUAUAUAUAUAUAUAUUUUGUUUACGUAUAACCAAAAAUUGUACGUAAAAGUGAAACUGACAUCUAUGAUAGGCUUAUUUCUGAAAGUUCACUGCAGGAGGAGUUUGAAUCUUUAAUGAUCAGUAAAAAUAAAAACAUUAAGGAAACUGAAUAGUAAUUGUAUUCUAAAAUUUUGACGUGUUUGAUAUCACAAGAGAUAUUUGCAAUCAGAAUACGUUAUUUUUUAAACAACCUAGGUAGAAAAUAAUUUUUUAAAGUGAUACUAGUGGUUUGAUUUAUUAUGAAAAUAUCUUAUAAUUACAAAAAAAUUAUAUAAAGUUAGACAAGAUAUCAAAUAUAUAUUUUUAUAGUUAAACUAAUCUAAAAGUUCUCUUAACUAGUUCUCAAUAAUUAGUGUUCUCGUCAAUAAAUUUUGGUUUGAUUUUAUAGGUGGAUUUCGAGUUAAUCUUUCAACACUACUGUUUUGAGAUGCUUGAAGAUCAUAAUGAAAAGAGUUUACCUGUUAAUAAAAUUCUGACGAUCAUGUCAAUAAAAACAUUAAAAAAUAUGAGUGUAGUGUGUAUUGUAUGAAAUAAUGUUUACCUUUUGUUCGGAGUCUUAAAAUUCUUUUAACACUCGAAGAUCCUUAUUCAAAAGUUAGUAACUACAUAAUAAUUUGUUAAUAUACCCUUUUAUUUUAGGGAUGUUGAUAUACCAAGUAUCUAUCUACAUUUGUUGAUGACUUAUUAGUGUCAUUCCUUUUGAAAAGACAAAAAAAUACGUAAAUAUAAUUAUAUAUAUAUAUAAAUAUAAUUAUAUAUAUAUAUAUAUAUAUAUAUAUAUAUAUAUAUAUAUAUAUAUAUAUAUNNNNNNNNNNNNNNNNNNNNNNNNNNNNNNNNNNNNNNNNNNNNNNNNNNNNNNNNNNNNNNNNNNNNNNNNNNNNNNNNNNNNNNNNNNNNNNNNNNNNAUAUAUAUAUAUAUAUAUAUGAGUGUGUAUAUUAUAUGCGGCUAAAAACAUCUCGACACACGAAAGUGAUCAUAACAUACAAGUACAAAGAAGUAGAAGCUAGAUCAGCAAUUUUAGAAUAAAUUUCAAAACCUUGCCAUACACAUACCGAAAUUAAGCUACAUAUAAUUAAGAAUAUCACUAAUCCUCAAUCAAGCACACUAAGUUGCUCUUACUAUUAGAGUAAUAUAAGAUUAUCGAUGAAGGUUCAUCUAUGCACAAGCUCAAUUUAAUUAAAUUCUAUAAAUAAAUUAUCAUGUGAUUGGUGGUAAACAUUAAAUUUACUAGCAUUUAUUAAUAAAUACACUCAACUAAUUUGAAUGUUGAAGUAUCUUUUUACAAGUACAGUAUCAAAACAUAGGUAUUACCGACAUUCAAAAUUAGUCGAUAAUGUCAAAAUUUUGUCAUUAAAUAAAAACUAUUGACAAAAAUAAAUUUGUCGAUAACUAAUAAUAUUAUUAUUAAUAAUUUAAAAAAUAUUAUUUAUUAUUAAAAUUAUUAUUAUUAGAAUUUACGGUUAUUGUUUACUAUUAUUUUAUUAUAUGUUAUUAAUUAUAUAAUGUUAUUAAAUAUAAUAUUACCAAUUGAUGCGGAGGAAUUUGAACCAAGUUCACUGACUACAUGUGACUGUAAGCAUUAGACCAAAAUUACUUACUUACCAUAUUAUGUUUUUUUAUUCUUAUUAUCAUAUUAGUAUUAUAAUUAUUAUAACUAUUAUUAUCAUUGUUAUUAAUAUUACUAAUAUUAAUAAAAUUAAAAUAUUAUUAAUACAAAUAUUAUCAAUAUUAUUUUUAUUAAUAAUAUCAUUAUUAUUAAUAAUAUUCUUAUUAUUAAUAAUAUUUUUAUUAUUUAUAGUAUUUAAUUAUUAUUAAUAUUAUUAUUAUUAUUAAGAUUAUUAUUAAUAAUAUUAUUGUAAUAUUAUUUUUAAUAUUAAUAUUAUUAUAGUUAUUAUAUUUAUUAUUAGUUUUAUUAAUAUUAUAUCAUAAUUAUUAAUAUUAGUACUACUUUUAAUAAUAUUAUUCAUAUUAUCAGUAUAAUUAUUAAUAUAUGAUUAUUAAUAUUAACUUUAUUCUAAGUCUUAAUUUUAUUAAAAAUAUUAAUAUUAUUGUAAUUAUUAAUUUUAUAUUAAUAUAAAUAUAAAUAUAAAUAUUAUUGUAAUUACUAUUAUUACUAUUAUUAUUAUUAAUCUUAUUAAUAUAAAUAUAAUUAUUAUUAUUAUUGUAGAAUUUACUGACGAUUUAUAUCCGCAUCUAAUUAUCGACAAAUUUUAUUGGAUAUUGAUUCGUUUCAAAUUACUUUUUUAAUCUUAAGAUUUGUAAAUCAAAUUUACUGGUAAUUACCAAUGGACAUAAUUCCGUCAAUAAAUUUUUUUAAUAAUUAGUUUUGUCAGUAAUAAAAAACAUAAACCCGUAAAUUUGAUAAAUUUGUUGUUAAUAAUUAGAAUUUUUUUAUAGUAUAUCUUCUGUGACCAGAGACAAGUAAAUACUAUCUUUCAAACGACGAAAUUAGUAUAACAAUAAAUAAAUAAAAAACGUACUCAAACAUUCAAAAACAAUAUAUAUUAUUAAAUAUAUUAUUUUGUGGUUUACAUAUUAAAAAAAUUGUUUUCCAAACUAAUUUUUUCUAUAUUUUAAAACUAGUUUAUAUAUUUGAUUAAUUUACUGUAUUAGUGUUUAGUCAAAUGUCAUGAACUCCAUAGUCACUAAAUAUUAAGUUGCAUGAUGCCUCCAUCACAAACGUGUGACAUCUAACUACUGAUAAAUUAAUAAACUACCUGAUUAUGACUUUGCAUAAAAAUAGUAUGUAUAUAUGAAUUAAUGUAUUUCCAAUACUCUCUAAUGCGAUUGAAUAUUUAAAACAACCUCAAAGAUGACUUAUAUAUGGAACUUCAAAAUUAAAUUCUUCAAACUUUAUUUACGCUCUUCAAGGAAUAGAUAAUAUCCUAUAAUCCAAUGAAUAAGUUAUUUGACAACGAAAAUUGAAGCAUGUUCAAGAAUUCCACAAGCUUCUUGAUAAUAUAAUUUGAAUAAAAAAUUAAAUUUGAUAGUGACAAAAACAAGUGGAGUCAAGUUUUUUUAUUUAAAGUGUGGAUUAUGUAUGUGAGGAUUAUAUGUCAUGGUUAACAUAGUCUUAUCCUUUUUAUACGGGUUGCGAUAUUUUUUAAAUAUCUUAUUUAAUUUAUUUAUUUAUUUUGUUAAUAAAAAUAAUGAUAGUUAAUAUGGAUUGACAUCUUUUAAAUUUAUUUAUUUAUUGAUAAAAAUAAUGAUAAUGACAUGUUAUCUGGUCUUUAAUUAGGCUAUUACUUUUUCCACAAUCUUUUUUGAAACAUAUUUUCUAAAGUUUUUUAAAUUAUAUUUUCAUCAAAAUAAUAAGUCUUUGUCCCUUUUAAAUUUAUAUGUGUAAAUUAUAUUAAAAGCUAUACAAUUUAAUAAUUUUUUAAUAAUAUUUUAUGUAUUAUUUUUAUUGAUAAAUAGGGUAUAUCCUAAACCCUAAACAACUUCCUCUUAAUUAAAAAUCCUGCGCUGGAUCCACAACUCAGUGAUGCAUUACAUCAAAGUCAUUUUGUUCAAGCAUGAAUUAAGUUCAAAAAUUCUUUGAAUCAAAAGUCGCGGAACUGAGCACUAAUUUCUCUCUUCUGUAUAAAUGUGUGAAUGUGUUUUGAUGUGAAAUAUUCAUGUUUUGUGUGGUACUUAUUUUCUUUCUGUAACUUAAAUAUUAAUGUAUUUUAAAUAUAAAAAGAUUUCUUGUUGGCUAGUGUGGAAAAUGGGACUAAGACUUGAUUAUUUUGAUGAAAAUAUAAUUUGAAAAAUUUAGAAAAUAUGUUUCGAUGAAAAGAUUGUGGAAAAAAUAAUAGCCUAAUUAAGGAUUAGAUAAGGUGUAACUAUCAUAUUUAAUUUUUGUAUUCAAAUCUAGGCCAUCUUCUCAUUUGUCUUUCACAAUUUCUUCCUCGAAAUGGUUCCAUUAUAAAAUCCAAUGUAGAUGAUGCUCAAUAGAAACACUAAAAACUCCUCUUCUAUCAAAAGAUAACAAAAAAUGGAAGUCCUUCCUCCUAUAUUUUUCAUUGUUGUGUUACUUUCUACAAUUUCAUGCUCAGCUUCAGCUGCAAAUUCAGCUCACAACAAUUUUCUUCAUUGUCUUGUAAGCCAUUCAGAGCCCUAUCAUCCCAUAACCUCAGCGAUUUUCACGUCAAACAACGCUUUAUUCUCCUCAGUCUUGAAUGAUUAUGUCAGAAACCUUCGUUUCAACACCUCCACAACCCGUAAGCCGUUCCUUAUAGUAACUGCAUUGCAUGUGUCCCAUAUACAGGCAUCCAUUAUCUGUGCUCAGAAGUAUAACUUGCAAAUGAAAAUUCGAAGUGGAGGCCAUGACUACGA